rnacentral:lncRNA from 1 species
GCCCGUCCCUAAUUUUAAGAAUUUUUAAAGUUUUAAUAAAGGAUUUUACAAAAAUGCCCUUUGAGGCACGCACAUCAUUCGAGGUUAAUCGUUGUGUCGUGCCAUCUAAGAUUUGUUUUCUUGACAUAUCCUCGUAGUACUCGUCGUUACGGACGCGUGGGCGCAGACGGUUCGUGAUUUGGAGUUAUAUCGAAGAAGUUAUUAACGUUUGAAAUUUGGAAUUUUAAGGAAUUAUAAUUUUAGUAAAAUAUAGAAAUUCUUUUAUGAAAUUGGACGGCCCAGAUUUAUUGAUGAAUGAAAUGGAUGGCUGGGAUGAGGGAAAGGUUUUUUGUGUGUGUGUAUGUGUAUGAGAAGAAGAAACAGAAAACAGAAAAGAAGAAGAGACUGGGCAGAAAUGCCCAAUCGGAGAAGAAGA